rnacentral:tRNA from 1 species
UAGGGAAUAUUAUGAUAAAAAGAAAGCUUCUAACUUUUUUUUAAGCGGUUAAAUUCCGUUUAUAUUCCUG